rnacentral:rRNA from 1 species
CACGUAAAGAACCUGCCUCAUAGACUGGGAUAACUAUUGGAAACGAUAGCUAAUACCGGAUAACAGCAUUAACUGCAUGGUUGAUGUUUAAAAGUUGGUUUUGCUAACACUAUGAGAUGGCUUUGCGGUGCAUUAGCUAGUUGGUGGGGUAAAGGCCUACCAAGGCGACGAUGCAUAGCCGACCUGAGAGGGUGAUCGGCCACACUGGGACUGAGACACGGCCCAG